GCAUUUUUAUAUCCGGAUUCUCCGAGCGUUUCUGAGCUCCACGGUUCCCGACGCUGUCGGCACAUGCGCGACGGCCCUGCUCCCUCUUCCUCCUCCUCCAGUGGCUUCCACCGUCCGGGCAGCCACCGCCACCGCCGCCCAGGAGUCAGGAAGUUCAAGAUGGCCGCCGCGGAGGCUCAGUCGCUGCGGGAACAGCCAGAGAUGGAAGAUGCUGAUAAUUCUGAAAAGAGUGUAAAUGAAGAAAAUGGAGAAGUAUCAGAAGACCAAUCUCAAAAUAAGCACAGUCGUCACAAAAAAAAGAAGCAUAAACACAGAAGUAAACAUAAGAAACAUAAACAUUCUUCAGAAGAAGACAAGGAUAAAAAACAUAAACAUAAGCAUAAACAUAAGAAACACAAAAGAAAAGAGGUUAUUGAUGCUUCUGACAAAGAAGGUAUGUCUCCAGCAAAAAGAACUAAACUUGAUGAUUUAGCUUUGCUGGAAGACUUGGAGAAACAGAGGGCCUUGAUUAAAGCUGAACUUGAUAAUGAGUUAAUGGAAGGAAAGGUCCAGUCUGGGAUGGGGCUCAUAUUACAAGGUUAUGAGUCUGGCUCCGAAGAGGAGGGGGAGAUUCAUGAAAAGGCACGAAAUGGAAAUAGGUCUAGUACUAGAUCUUCAAGUACGAAGGGGAAACUUGAACUUAUGGACAAUAAAAAUAGUACAAAAAAACGAAGUAAAAGCAGAUCCAAAGAACGGACUAGACAUAGGUCUGAUAAAAAGAAAAGUAAGGGAGGUGUUGAAAUAGUUAAAGAGAAGGCAACGAGGAGCAAGUCAAAGGAGAGGAAAAAGUCCAAGAGUCCCUCCAAAAGAAGUAAGUCUCAAGAUCAAGCAAGAAAGUCAAAGUCUCCUACCCUUAGAAGGCGCUCUCAAGAGAAAAUUGGGAAGGCCAGAUCUCCUGCUGAUGACAAGGUUAAAAUAGAAGAUAAAAGUAAGUCAAAAGAUAGGAAAAAAUCCCCAAUUAUCAAUGAAAGUAGAAGUCGUGAUCGAGGCAAAAAAUCUAGAUCCCCAAUUGACUUGAGAGGUAAGUCCAAAGACAGAAGGUCACGGUCCAAAGAGAGAAAAUCGAAACGGUCUGAAACUGAUAAAGAGAAGAAGCCAGUUAAAUCUCCCUCUAAAGAUGCUUCCUCUGGGAAAGAGAAUCGGUCACCCAGUAGAAGACCUGGUCGUAGUCCCAAAAGAAGAAGUUUGUCUCCGAAACAACGUGAUAAGUCAAGAAGAAGUCGAUCUCCACUCUUAAAUGAUAGAAGGUCUAAGCAAAGCAAGUCACCUUCUCGAACUCUGUCUCCUGGUAGGAGAGCCAAGAGCCGAUCCUUGGAAAGAAAACGCAGGGAUCCUGAACGGAGACGCCUUUCUUCGCCAAGAACACGACCUCGAGAUGAUAUCCUCAGUAGGCGGGAAAGAUCAAAAGAUGCCAGCCCAAUCAGUAGGUGGUCUCCAGCCCGAAGAAGAGCCAGUAGAUCUCCUGUUAGGAGGAGGUCCCGCUCCCCCCUCAGACGGAGCCGAUCUCCCAGAAGAAGAAGCAGGUCUCCUCGAAGAAGGGACAGGGGCCGAAGGAGCAGAUCACGCCUGAGAAGGCGGUCUCGGUCACGGGGUGGUCGUAGACGUAGGAGCAGAAGCAAAGUAAAGGAAGAUAAAUUUAAAGGAAGUCUUUCUGAAGGCAUGAAAGUUGAGCAGGAAUCUUCAUCUGAUGAUAACCUUGAAGACUUUGAUGUUGAGGAGGAAGAUGAAGAAGCCUUGAUAGAACAGAGAAGAAUACAAAGGCAGGCCAUUGUUCAGAAAUACAAAUACCUUGCUGAGGACAGCAACAUGUCCGUGCCGUCUGAGCCCAGCAGCCCCCAGAGCAGCACUCGCACCCGCUCUCCCUCUCCUGAGGACAUUCUGGAAAGGGUAGCUGCCGACGUCAAGGAGUAUGAACGGGAGAAUGUUGAUACAUUUGAGGCCUCAGUCAAAGCCAAGCAUAAUCUCAUGACAGUCGAACAGAAUAAUGGUUCAUCUCAGAAGAAGCUGUUGGCACCCGAUAUGUUUACAGAAUCUGAUGAUAUGUUUGCUGCGUAUUUUGACAGUGCGCGUCUGCGGGCUGCUGGCAUUGGAAAAGAUUUCAAAGAGAAUCCCAACCUCAGGGAUAACUGGACUGAUGCAGAAGGCUAUUAUCGUGUGAACAUAGGUGAAGUCCUGGAUAAGCGUUAUAACGUGUAUGGCUACACGGGUCAAGGCGUGUUCAGUAACGUGGUCCGAGCCAGGGAUAAUGCGAGGGCCAACCAGGAGGUGGCCGUGAAGAUCAUUAGGAACAACGAGCUCAUGCAAAAAACUGGUUUAAAAGAAUUAGAAUUCUUGAAAAAACUGAACGAUGCUGAUCCUGAUGACAAAUUUCAUUGUUUGCGACUCUUCAGACACUUUUAUCACAAACAGCAUCUCUGCCUCGUGUUUGAGCCUCUGAGUAUGAAUUUACGAGAGGUGUUAAAAAAAUAUGGUAAGGAUGUUGGCCUUCAUAUUAAGGCUGUACGAUCCUAUAGUCAGCAGUUGUUCUUGGCACUAAAACUCCUUAAAAGAUGCAAUAUCCUCCAUGCAGAUAUCAAGCCAGACAAUAUCUUGGUUAAUGAAUCAAAAACUAUUUUAAAGCUCUGCGACUUUGGGUCGGCUUCACAUGUUGCGGAUAAUGACAUAACGCCUUACCUUGUCAGUAGAUUUUAUCGCGCUCCUGAAAUCAUUAUAGGUAAAAGCUAUGACUAUGGUAUAGAUAUGUGGUCCGUAGGCUGCACCUUGUAUGAACUCUAUACUGGAAAGAUUUUAUUUCCUGGCAAAACCAAUAACCAUAUGUUGAAGCUCGCCAUGGAUCUCAAAGGAAAGAUGCCAAAUAAGAUGAUUCGGAAAGGCGUAUUUAAAGACCAACAUUUUGAUCAAAACCUCAACUUCAUGUACAUAGAAGUUGAUAAAGUAACAGAGAGGGAGAAAGUUACUGUCAUGAGCACCAUUAAUCCAACUAAGGACCUGUUGGCUGACUUGAUUGGGUGCCAGCGACUUCCUGAAGACCAGCGUAAAAAAGUGCACCAGCUGAAGGACUUGUUGGACCAGAUCCUAAUGUUGGACCCAGCUAAACGGAUUAGCAUCAACCAGGCCCUGCAGCAUGCCUUCAUCCAGGAGAAGAUUUAAACGAGAUGAAGAAGCUCCCAGGGUUUGAGUAAUUAAAUACAAAGACUGAAGAAAUUUCACAGCAGUUUAUUAAUGUAUAUAAACUUAUAAAUAUUUCUCCAGCAAAUUUGAGGAAGCAUGAUAUAUUUGAAUUAACACCAAGGGUGAUAUUUCUUUUAGAAAUGUUAGUUAAUCUGUUUUGUGUCUUAUGUGAAAUUUCACUGUAGAAAUGUCUUAAUCGCCAAGACUGCACAGAAUUACAGUGCUAAUGUAAAUGGUUGCAGUUCACAGAAAAGACAAAAAGAGCAUCUGUUAUAAAAUGAGUAGUAAUACUGGGUGGUUGAUUUAUUUUUAGCAAACUUGGCUUCAUUUUGGUCUUCAGAUAAAAUGGCCAGCAUAAAUGCUGUUUAUAUUCACGUUUUCCUAGGUGUGUGUGUGCAGGCCACAGCAGCAUGCCCUGGGUGUAGUCAGUGCCGAAAGGGGUCUGUUCCUUCUUGAGCCUGCCUGCAGGGAUGGUCUCCUCUUUUAAAGCAGGUUGUGUACAACAUUCAGUACACUGAAGGUAAGCUAAACCAUCAACAUCACUGGUGUUUUAAGAUGUUAUUUUAUUGGAACAAUUGACAAACGAGGGAUAUUAGCUUUGUGGCAGAAUUCCCUGCAUGUGUGAUAACUGAUCUUGUUUUAUUUUUUGGCAUUGCAACUGUGGCAUAGUUACAAUUUCUGUUCUGUUCAUCACCUUUAAAAUUUGAAGAGUAUGCGCUUGAUGGAUAGAGCGCCUUCAGUGUACUGUUUCUUAUUAACUUUAAUUUUUUUUAAAUCAACUUGCUAUAGACUUUAUAUACAUUUUGUUAAAUACAGUUCCUAGUGACAUAGAAACAAUGCGUAGUUUUCAUUUACUAAUAACAAAUGUUGAGGCCUAAUUCUGGAAGUCCUCAUAUUUAAAAGUUAGAUAGACAACAUAAUGAAAUUUUUAACUAUUUGUAUGUCAUUUUGAAAGUGUACUGCUUUAUGGUAAAAGUGUUUUUCAUUUGUUCAUUGUUUUCAUUAUUUGUGAUCAUGUUGUCUUUCAAUACAGGCAUAAACCUUCCACUCUUGAACAAAGCAGCUGCUUUUUAAAAGCGAGAAAAAGGAAAACGGGGCACAGGCCACUCACCGCCUUCUCCAAGGGGUCUGAUUUGCUGAGACACCAGCUUCACCUUCUUAACAAGGUUAUUUCUGACAGCAUGUGUAGAUAAACAUUUAGCAACAAUUUAAAACAAAAUCAUGUAAAUCGGUUUGGUUUUGCAACACGAAGAAGUUAGUAUUUUUUAACAUGAUAGCAGAGAAUUUUCAGAAAUGUGUGUAAUCUUUUCUGUUUGGGUGGUAAAAAUUAAUGCUUGUCUCCCUGAGGAAUGUGGAAGAUGAUCAGAUUUUAGGGGUUUAAAUAAUAUUUUAAAACGGUAAAUGGGAUCUUUUUAUUCACCCAGGCACCUAAUUACAACAAGCAUGCACGUUUUGGUGCAUUCAAGAAUGGAAAAUCAGAGUAGCAGCAUUCUUCUGGUGGGUUUUACUCCAUUUAAAGGCAUGAAAUGAACCACAGCCAGGAAGGUGAUAGAUGCCACAGUAGGGCAGCUUUGACUCUGUGCCCCCAUCUCCUCGUGGUUUAGGCGUAAACUGACGUAAAUGCCAGGCGGCGCUCAUCCUCGGGUGGUGACGCCCUGUAAACAAGGCGUCACGGGUGCAGCUCUCCUACCUGGAUGAGACGGGUAGUGAUUUUCCCACCACUGUUUACUUUGGAGAUAAGAUGCUGCAUAGUCAAGUCUUUCCUAGUUAUUUUCACUCAAAAUAUCGAUAGUUAACGUUUGUAUGUUUCUGGUGAUUUUCAUGGCUUCGUUUUAUAUACUUAUUUAAGUAAGUUAACUUCCACUAGAGACAGUUCAUCUUAUGCCUUCAAAACUGUUACGUGUUCUUUAAAAAACAAAGUUGCUUGUUACUUGUUCUUUGUGUUCUAGGUGCAGCUCAGUGGAAGAUGAUGACACCAGAAGACAUGAGCUAAGGUUUCUGUCCUAUAAAAGAUUAAACAAACAAAAAAAAGAAUCCUCCGUUUAAUUUUUGUCUAGUUCUUUAGUUUUCAGCAUGAUGAUUUGGGGUGCGUUACUGUUUGGUGCUCAGAGAGUGGUGCUCCUGUGUCCAUUGUAAAGCUUGCGCUUUAUCGUGCGUCCUGCCUCUCCCCCGCUUCCCUCCCCUAGGAGGAGGAGAGCAGUCAGAUCUAGCGUUGUUGGCCACGUGGCUGGUGAGAUUCCACAUCACACGUGGUUGUCAGAAUUGGUCCCCAAGGAUUGUUAGAAAAACACUGGCCACCAGAAGAGCAUCCAUCUGAAGGUGGUCUUCCGCAUGAGGUGCCACGUCUCCUUGGCUGAUGCACCAGGGUAGAAAGGAACCCUAAGAGCACUGCUCUGCUCCUAAGAGCACGCCCUCUCCUCCAGCUCACCCUCAGUGUCUGUGUUCAGCCAGUGCUCCGCUCACGGCCUUGAAAUAGACCAGACAUCCAGACCACUGCCAGCGUUCCUUCUUAAGGGGAGCGCGAGGGCACGUUCUCUAGCUCUUUGAAAUUCCCGAACUCGGCAUUCCUUGAUUUACCCAUUUGAAAGGAACCCUGUAAGCAGUGUUUAUCCACACACACGUAAUUGUGUUGGAGCCUGUACUGUUCUAAGGCAGAGAGACGUGGAGCUCCGCAAGCCCUCUGCCGGGUGGGCCCAGGGCAUGAACGGUCCUCCGCAGACGCGCGCUCCGUUGCUACGUAGUUUCUCUCACGAAGGUUUUGCUGUAUCUCACUUUGUGGCAAAAAUGGUGCCAAGCGAUUGUGAGACUUCGGGGUCCAUAGGUCCUAGGACAUAACCCACAAAGAUGGCAUAGUCCUCUCUGUAGUUGGGGGAAUUGUUGCGCUUACACAUUUUAGACACCGUUCUCUGGGUAGACGUGCUCUCGAAGGUUCUCAGAAGUCAGGCUGGAACGUCAGGGCUUUGAAGGGAGGGUCUCGUCAUACGCUGUAAGGCCCUCCCAGCAUUUGUAUGCACCCUCACCUUCAAGUCCUUAGUAAUAGCGUCCUGUUUCUUUAUUCCCCAGUGCCUGUUUCAUUCCACUCUCCUCUUUCUCAGAAUAAUUUUGUGUUUAAGAAAUAUAUAUUUUUUUGCCAUUACAAUUGCCGCUUGCUUUUGCUGCCUAAAACAAAUGCUCAGGACGUUUUUACAGUCAGUGUUUCGGGGGUGUGGUGGAGGCAGUGGGGUGCGGCGCUCUCAGGUUUGGCCCCUCGCCUUCGCCUGGGCUUCGCUAGCUGACCGGGGAGAAGGAGAAUCUCUGAAACGGGAACCACACGUCUUCAGACUUAGGCCGAGCAGUUGAGGGAAGAACCCCCUUGAAAUGUCGAGAUAGGAAAGAAGCCAGCUAUCAAAUGCACAGUUACGUUAUGUUAGUUUUCAUGACAUUGUCAGAAACUGGGCUUCAUAAAGUGUUUUCUUUUUCAUAGAAUCCUAGUUCAGGCGUCUGUUUAACGUGAAUUUUAUCAUUCUUUUCUGAGACGAAAUGUCCUUAUAGAAAUGUUCACUACAAAUUCAUGUGUUUUACAUGUCAAUGAAUGUACACUAAAUUGACUUUUUAAAUGCUUUCCAGUUAUUCUGAUAGGUAUCAUCAUGGUGUCUUUGA